GAUGGGUUCUGACAGGUGAAGGGAGGAGUUCUGACAGGUGAAGGGAGGAGUUCUGACAGGUGAAGGGAGGGGUUCUGACAGGUGAAGGGAGGAGUUCUGACAGGUGAAGGGAGGGGUUCUGACAGGUGAAUGGAGGAGUUCUGACAGGUGAAGGGUGGAGUUCUGACAGGUGAAGAGAGGAGUUCUGACAGGAGUUCUGACAGGUGAAGGGUGGAGUUCUGACAGGUGAAGGGAGGAGUUCUGACAGGUGAAGGGAGGGGUUCUGACAGGUGAAGGGUGGAGUUCUGACAGGUGAAGGGAGGGGUUCUGACAGGUGAAGGGAGGAGUUCUGACAGGUGAAGGGAGGAGUUCUGACAGGUGAAGGGUGGAGUUCUGACAGGUGAAGAGAGGAGUUCUGACAGGAGUUCUGACAGGUGAAGGGUGGAGUUCUGACAGGUGAAGGGAGGGGUUCUGACAGGUGAAGGGUGGAGUUCUGACAGGUGAAGAGAGGAGUUCUGACAGGAGUUCUGACAGGUGAAGGGUGGAGUUCUGACAGGUGAAGGGAGGGGUUCUGACAGGUGAAGGGAGGAGUUCUGACAGGUGAAGGGAGGAGUUCUGACAGGUGAAGGGAGGAGUUCUGACAGGUGAAGGGUGGAGUUCUGACAGGUGAAGGGAGGAGUUCUGACAGGUGAAGGGAGGAGUUCUGACAGGUGAAGGGAGGGGUUCUGACAGGUGAAGGGAGGGGUUCUGACAGGUGAAGGGAGGGGUACUGACAGGUGAAGGGUGGAGUUCUGACAGGUGAAGGGUGGAGUUCUGACAGGUGAAGGGAGGGGUUCUGACAGGUGAAGGGAGGAGUUCUGACAGGUGAAGGGAGGAGUUCUGACAGGUGAAGGGAGGAGUUCUGACAGGUGAAGGGAGGGGUUCUGACAGGUGAAGGGUGGAGUUCUGACAGGUGAAGGGAGGGGUUCUGACAGGUGAAGGGAGGAGUUCUGACAGGUGAAGGGAGGAG